UACAGAGGUCCCAAGCGUUGUUCGGAUUCACUGGGCGUAAAGGGUGCGUAGGUGGUGAGGUAAGUCGGAUGUGAAAUCUCCGGGCUCAACCCGGAAAUGGCAUUGGAAACUACCUUGCUGGAGGAUUUGAGGGGGGAUUGGAAUACUUGGUGUAGCAGUGAAAUGCGUAGAUAUCAAGUGGAACACCGGUGGCGAAGGCGGCUUCCCUGGACCGACACUGACGCUGAGGCGCGAAAGCUAGGGGAGCAAACGGG
rnacentral:rRNA from 1 species